rnacentral:rRNA from 1 species
GAUGAACGCUGGCGGCGUGCUUAACACAUGCAAGUCGAACGAAGCACUUUUGAUUGAUUUCUUCGGAAAGAGAGAGACUGUGACUGAGUGGCGGACGGGUGAGUAACGCGUGGGUAACCUGCCUCAUACAGGGGGAUAACAGUUAGAAAUGACUGCUAAUACCGCAUAAGCACACAGCUUCGCAUGAAGCAGUGUGAAAAACUCCGGUGGUAUGAGAUGGACCCGCGUCUGAUUAGGUAGUUGGUGGGGUAACGGCCCACCAAGCCGACGAUCAGUAGCCGACCUGAGAGGGUGACCGGCCACAUUGGGACUGAGACACGGCCCAAACUCCUACGGGAGGCAGCAGUGGGGAAUAUUGCACAAUGGGGGAAACCCUGAUGCAGCGACGCCGCGUGAAGGAUGAAGUAUUUCGGUAUGUAAACUUCUAUCAGCAGGGAAGAAA